rnacentral:rRNA from 1 species
UACGUAGGGGGCGAGCGUUGUCCGGAAUUAUUGGGUGUAAAGGGUGCGUAGACGGAUUGUUAAGUUAGUUGUGAAAUCCCCAGGCUCAACUUGGGAACUGCAACUAAAACUGGCGACCUUGAGUGCAGGAGAGGAAAGUGGAAUUCCUAGUGUAACGGUAAAAUGUGUAGAGAUUAGGAGGAACACCAGUGGCGAAGGCGACUUUCUGGACUGUAACUGACGUUGAGGCACGAAAGUGUGGGGAGCAAAC